AACGCUAGCUACAGGCUUAACACAUGCAAGUCCUGGGGAAACGAUAUUGGAAGCUUGCUUCCGAUAGGCGUCGACCGGCGCACGGGUGAGUAACGCGUAUCCAACCUGCCCACCACUUGGGGAUAACCUUGCGAAAGUAAGACUAAUACCCAAUGAUAUCUCUAGAAGACAUCUGAAAGAGAUUAAAGAUUUAUCGGUGAUGGAUGGGGAUGCGUCUGAUUAGCUUGUUGGCGGGGUAACGGCCCACCAAGGCAACGAUCAGUAGGGGUUCUGAGAGGAAGGUCCCCCACAUUGGAACUGAGACACGGUCCAAACUCCUACGGGAGGCAGCAGUGUUUUUUAUUGGUCAAUGGACGAGAGUCUGAACCAGCCAAAUAGCGUGCAGGAAGACGGCCCUCCCCCCCCCCAACUGCUUUUAUAAGGGAAUAAAGUGAGUCUCGUGAGACUUUUUGCAUGUACCUUAUGAAUAAGGACCGGCUAAUUCCGUGCCAGCAGCCGCGGUAAUACGGAAGGUCCGGGCGUUAUCCGGAUUUAUUGGGUUUAAAGGGAGCGUAGGCCGGAGAUUAAGCGUGUUGUGAAAUGUAGACGCUCAACGUCUGCACUGCAGCGCGAACUGGUUUCCUUGAGUACGCACAAAGUGGGCGGAAUUCGUGGUGUAGCGGUGAAAUGCUUAGAUAUCACGAAGAACUCCGAUUG
rnacentral:rRNA from 1 species